rnacentral:lncRNA from 1 species
CGAAACCAGAAGAGGGCGUAUGGCUAGAGUUUCACCCUAAGAAGAAAGGGGAAGCAGGUGGAAAAGCAAUUAAAAAAAAAUCAGCAUCUCUCUCUAGCCUAUUAUCUCCUGUUAGACACAGCCCAGAAAAUGAAUAGAGACAAGUCCUGGCUGGGUCUGGGUUCAGAAACAUAAUAGAAGGAUUCAUCUAAUCUGUCGGCCACUGUGGAGGAAGUGAACCUUCUAGAUCCUGCUGACUCAUACAAUGAGUUUUGUGUGGACCAUCAGACAAAAGGGCUGGCUGGUGAAGGUGGCUGUUGUCUGGAAAUUCCUCCCAGCUCUCCUCUAAUUAUGUCAUAAGGACUGGAGGCCCCUUAGCCUGCUUGUGAUAACACGCAAGGAAAUAUGGGCCAACUCUUCACAUGAACACAAGAUAUUUCCAUGCUAGCCUUUUGCAAGUAACAACAGAGAGAGCUCUGUGCAGUUUUCACUGGAAUGCCUGUGGAUUGCUUGUGUCAUAACUGUAAUCUAAAGAGUUGUCCAUUUGUUGAUUCCUUUGUAUUUGUAUUGGUAGAAUUGCCACUAUCAAACCAAGAUCUUUAGCUGCCUUUGUAUCAACUUCUUUGGAGCUUAUGUGAUUUUCCAGAAAAUUUCCAAGGCAUAGUUUUGUCCCUAAGUCCCAUGAAUAUGUAAUAUUUUGUGUCUCUCUAUUAAAAUAGCACUUUUUGUGCAUUCCAUUAACAAA